AUUUUAUGUCCUGCUCCUUACAAAGUAGACCUUGCUAAAACCUGGACCCAGCGCCAAGCAAUUCAGUGUUACUCUGUACACUGUUACACCAAGCUGGGUGUAAAGUGCUCACCAGGAAGCAACUGACAGGCUCCAGAACACGGGGAAAUCCCGUGUGUUGAAUUUUGCUGGACUCCAGGGCUUAAUGAAAAUGAUUGGAAAAUGUUUGUGUAUCAAGGACACCAUCAGUCGGGGGUGACAAAGCCAAGGGAACGGGUCCAGACUGGAAGAGACUUCAUGGGU
rnacentral:lncRNA from 1 species